UCCUGAAAAACAACCACCGCCAAGAGUUUUUAAAAAACCAUGGGGAAUUUAUAAGAGUACCAGUGUAGCUGAACCUCUGCCACUAUUAUCUCCUGGUAACAAGGAUUCUUCAUACAGUAGGCCUUCAUAAACGUUGUUGACUGCAUGAUUGACUGCUAUCCAGAUAGUUCUGGGAAGACAGUAGAAGAAGCGUUACCCGAGGAGACCGUUUGUGCUGCAGAAGGCAGCCGAUUCAGCAGGAGCACAAGAAAGCCUGAACUCACCAAAUGGCAGUGGUCUUCCGAGUAUUCCACAUCUGAACGCCACAGAAAGAGGGAGAGAGACAGUCCAUUAAAACAGCCACGCACUGGGUGAAGUCAUCUGCUGAGAGUCAGGGGAGCAGUGGGGGUCAGAGCUUCGAGGAGAGAAGGUGGGAUUAUGGAGAGCACAGUCGUCGGUUGCCUCGAGAAGCAAAAGCACGGGGGGAAGAGGCUACGUGGAGGGUCCUGGUCAAGGCGGGAAUUUACUGUGACUCCAGCUGUGCUGUCCUUUCCCCUGUGGCUGCCCAGCUGUAGGGUCAGGAAAGAGUUCACAUUCUUAGGACCAGAAACAGAUCGAAACAGCUUUCCUCCACUCUCUCAGAGAACUACCUGGCAACAACUCAAUCUCAUCUUUGUGACAGUACAUCCAAGAGAGGCAAAAAGUGAUACUUUAUAAAGUGGGGUGAGAACAAAAGGUUAACAGUAUUA